GACGAACGCUGGAGGCGUGCUUAACACAUGCAAGUCGAACGAUGAAAUGGAGCUUGCUCAUGGAUUAGUGGCGAACGGGUGAGUAACACGUGAAUAACCUGCCCUUAAUUUUGGAAUAACCCAGGGAAACCUGGGCUAAUACCGGAUAAGUAAACCUGUGGCAUCACAUGGUUUUGGAAAGUUUUUCGAUUAAGGAUGGAUUCGCGGCCGAUCAGCUUGUUGGUGAGGUAAUGGCUCACCAAGGCGACGACGGGUAGCCGGCCUGAGAGGGUGAACGGCCACACUGGACUGAGACACGGCCCAGACUCCUACGGGAGGCAGCAGUGGGGAAUAUUGCGCAAUGGACGAAAGUCUGACGCAGCGACGCCUCGUGAGGGACGAAGGUCUUCGGAUUGUAAACCUCUUUCAGCAGGGACGAAGCGAAAGUGACGGUACCUGCAGAAGAAGCACCGGCUAACUAUGUGCCAGCCGCCGCCGUAA
rnacentral:rRNA from 1 species